rnacentral:rRNA from 1 species
AAAUGGAUUUCUUCGGAUUGAAGUUUUUGUGAGUGAGUGGCGGACGGGUGAGUAACGCGUGGGUAACCUGCCUCAUACAGGGGGAUAACAGUUAGAAAUGACUGCUAAUACCGCAUAAGCGCACGGUGCUGCAUGGCACAGUGUGAAAAACUCCGGUGGUAUGAGAUGGACCCGCGUCUGAUUAGCUAGUUGGUGGGGUAACGGCCUACCAAGGCGACGAUCAGUAGCCGGCCUGAGAGGGUGAACGGCCACAUUGGGACUGAGACACGGCCCAAACUCCUACGGGAGGCAGCAGUGGGGAAUAUUGCACAAUGGGGGAAACCCUGAUGCAGCGACGCCGCGUGAGCGAAGAAGUAUUUCGGUAUGUAAAGCUCUAUCAGCAGGGAAGAAAAUGACGGUACCUGACUAAGAAGCACCGGCUAAAUACGUGCCAGCAGCCGCGGUAAUACGUAUGGUGCAAGCGUUAUCCGGAUUUACUGGGUGUAAAGGGAGCGUAGACGGUUGUGUAAGUCUGAUGUGAAAGCCCGGGGCUCAACCCCGGGACUGCAUUGGAAACUAUGUAACUAGAGUGUCGGAGAGGUAAGCGGAAUUCCUAGUGUAGCGGUGAAAUGCGUAGAUAUUAGGAGGAACACCAGUGGCGAAGGCGGCUUACUGGACGAUC